rnacentral:rRNA from 1 species
GACGAACGCUGGCGGCGUGCCUAAUACAUGCAAGUCGAGCGCAGGAAACCGUCUGAACCCUUCGGGGGGACGACGGCGGAAUGAGCGGCGGACGGGUGAGUAACACGUGAGCAACCUGCCUAUCACAUCGGGAUAGCCUCGGGAAACUGGGAUUAAUACCGAAUGAGACAUAAUCACUGCCUAGUGGAAAUGUCAAAGAUUUAUCGGUGAUAGAUGGGCUCGCGUCUGAUUAGCUAGUUGGUGAGGUAAUGGCUCACCAAGGCGACGAUCAGUAGCCGGCCUGAGAGGGUGAACGGCCACAUUGGGACUGAGACACGGCCCAAACUCCUACGGGAGGCAGCAGUGGGGAAUAUUGCACAAUGGAGGGAACUCUGAUGCAGCGACGCCGCGUGAGCGAUGAAGGCUUUCGAGUCGUAAAGCUCUGUCGAAUGGGAAGAUAAUGACGGUACCAUUUGAGAAAGCCCCGGCUAACUACGUGCCAGCCGCCGCAGUAAAAC